rnacentral:rRNA from 1 species
GAUGAACGCUGGCGGCGUGCCUAAUACAUGCAAGUCGAGCGAAUGGAUUAAGAGCUUGCUCUUAUGAAGUUAGCGGCGGACGGGUGAGUAACACGUGGGUAACCUGCCCAUAAGACUGGGAUAACUCCGGGAAACCGGGGCUAAUACCGGAUAACAUUUUGAACCGCAUGGUUCGAAAUUGAAAGGCGGUUUCGGCUGUCACUUAUGGAUGGACCCGCGUCGCAUUAGCUAGUUGGUGUGGUAACGGCUCACCAAGGCAACGACGCGUAGCCGACCUGAGAGGGGGAUCGGCCACACUGGGACUGAGACACGGCCCAGACUCCUACGGGAGGCAGCAGUAGGGAAUCUUCCGCAAUGGACGAAAGUCUGACGGAGCAACGCCGCGUGAGUGAUGAAGGCUUUCGGGUCGUAAAACUCUGUUGUUAGGGAAGAACAAGUGCUAGUUGAAUAAGCUGGCACCUUGACGGUACCUAACCAGAAAGCCACGGCUAACUACGUGCCAGCCGCCGCGGUAA